rnacentral:ncRNA from 2 species
UACAUAUGAACGUAUCUAGGUGAAGCUGCGAAUAGCGGUUUCUUAAAAGGGAAGCUGGUGAAAUUCCAGCGCGGUCCCGCCACUGUAAAUGGGAGUAAAAGACACGAUGUCACUGUGUAAACACACGGGAAGACGUUUUUUACGAUGACCAUGAGCCAGGAGACCUGCCUUGGAACGAUGCACCGA